UACGAAGGGGCAAGCGUUGUUCGGAUUUACUGGGCGUAAAGGGUGCGUAGGCGGCCCUGCAAGUUGGAUGUGAAAGCCCUGGGCUCAACCCAGGAAUAGCAUUCAAAACUACAGGGCUCGAGUGUGGAAGAGGAUGGUGGAAUUUCCAGUGUAGAGGUGAAAUUCGUAGAUAUUGGAAAGAACACCCGUGGCGAAGGCGGCCAUCUGGUCCACAACUGACGCUGAGGCACGAAAGCGUGGGAGCAAACAGGG
rnacentral:rRNA from 1 species